rnacentral:rRNA from 1 species
CCUACGGGUGGCAGCAGUGAGGAAUAUUGGUCAAUGGACGAGAGUCUGAACCAGCCAAGUAGCGUGAAGGAUGACUGCCCUAUGGGUUGUAAACUUCUUUUAUAUGGGAAUAAAAUGUUCCACGUGUGGGAUUUUGUAUGUACCAUAUGAAUAAGGAUCGGCUAACUCCGUGCCAGCAGCCGCGGUAAUACGGAGGAUCCGAGCGUUAUCCGGAUUUAUUGGGUUUAAAGGGAGCGUAGGUGGAUUGUUAAGUCAGUUGUGAAAGUUUGCGGAUUAACCGUAAAAUUGCAGUUGAAACUGGCAGUCUUGAGUACGGUAGAGGUGGGCGGAAUUCGUGGUGUAGCGGUGAAAUGCUUAGAUAUCACGAAGAACUCCGAUUGCGAAGGCAGUUCACUGGACUGCAACUGACACGGAGGCUCGAAAGUGUGGGUAUCAAACAGGAUUAGAUACCCCGGUAGUC